GGCCGCAGAGGCAGGGUAGGAUUAAGAAAGGGAUAGGGUGAGAGGGGGGCGGUUGCGGGUGGGCGGAGGAAGGAGGGGUGAGGAUAGCGGUAGAGGGGACGGUAGGGGAGGAGAGGGGAAGAGGCGGUGGAAGGUGAAGGGGGCUGGGGGGGAUGGGAAUUGAGGCGAAUCCCUGAAUGCAGGGGAGGGUGAGUGGCCAAAGGAGAUGACGAAUAGCAGGAGGUUGAGACGGGUGGGGGGAAAGUGGGAAAUGAAGGUGAAGGUAUAAAACGCCGCGGGACAAAGUAUGGAAUUGGGAGGGGCGAGUCUGGUGGCCAGCAGGCCCGGGGUAAUUGCAGCUGCAAUAGGGUAUAUUAAAAGUUGUGGCAGGUAAAAAGCUCGUAGUUGGAUUUCUGUUAAUACCUUAUAUAUAAUAUUUUUUUUUUAAAUAUUAAUAUGUAAGAUUAACAUAAUUCAUAUUUUUAAGACUGAAUUUUUAGUUUUGAUAAUAUGAAAUUUUACUGUGAGAAAAUUAGAGUGCUUAAAGCAGGCUUUUGCCUUGAAUACUCCAGCAUGGAAUAAUAAUAAAAGAUUUUUAUCUUUUUUUUUAUUGGUUCUAAGAUAAAAAUAAUGAUUAAUAGGGACAGUUGGGGGCAUUUGUAUUUAACAGUCCAGAGGUGAUAUUCUUAGAUUUGUUAAAGACAAACUAAUGCGAAAGCAUUUGCCAAGGCAUGUUUUCAUUAAUCAAGAACGAAAGUUAGGGGAUCGAAGACGAUCAGAUACCGUCGUAGUGCUUAACCAUAAACUAUGCCAACUAGAGAUUGGAGGUUGUUCCUUACUCCU
rnacentral:rRNA from 1 species